GUGGGCCGGGCCGGGCCGGGGCAGAGCGAGAAGUUGGCGGCGUCGGCGGGGGGAGAGCGCGGAGCCCAGCUUCCCAUCCUCGGCCCGGCAGACCCCUGACGUGCAGAGAUAGCGCCCUGCAAUUAGCCACACGGCGUGGUGGAGCGUGAAAAGAUUUAAGGUUUCAUGCAGCAGGGCUUGGUGUGACCAGCGCGAACAGAGAUGAGUGGAACGGGCCGUGGCGGUGUGCGGGUGCUAAGAGCCGGUGGUGAAGUUGCUCGGGAGGGAUGGUGUGCCCCCCUCUCUCCUUCCCUGCACUUCUCCAAAGUCAAUAAGUGCUAGUGGACUCCGUACCAAGUUAAAGAGACGCUUCAUCCCAGCCAGUGACGUCUUGAUACCCGGUCAGUGACUAACUAAACUGCUAUUGCCAAGGGUGUGUUAACAGAAGAAACUGCUUGGUAUUGCCCCGGAUGAGUCACCUUUAAAGAGAGACUCUCUAGUCUGUUAAAUGAACAACAGAAAUGAGCUUCACUUUGCUUUUUUGUGGCUGUUCUGUUUCCCAUCCAGCCCCCCACCCUUGCACUCAGCUUUCCCCUACUUGCGCCAGGGCUCUACUGGGUCCCCAGCCUUUCGCUGGUUGCUGGCAGAGCUGCCUUGCGCCGUCACGCCGUGAUGUCACGCAGAGGACUCUGACUUCAUGGCCCCGAGGAGCAGGAAGGCAAGCCGGGCAGGGACUCCUCCAGCUGCCCAGAGUGGCUGUCACUAGAAACGGAGGAAGUGACGAAGCAGAUUGCUUCUCCUACAAAGUUCUCUCUUGCAAUUUUAGACUGGUGAAGAAGCUGGGUAGUUGGAACUUACCUUUUCUAAAGCACAGCGCAGCUUUAUCAGCAGCUUAAACUCAUAGCAACCAGCCAGGAUUCACCACAGCCUGCCGAGGUUUCCUGAAAGGGCUCAGGUCUUCUCAUACCUAGCCCUGGACUACUUGUAAAGGCUUGAUCUGAAAGAGCCAGCAGUGCUCUGGUCAGCAAGUAGUUAAUUCCUCAGAAGGCAGAGCAACGUCUUCUGCACUGAUAGAGUCUCUCAUGGAGUAAUUUUGCCUGUCCCCAUCUCUCCUGCCUGCACUAAUUUGUUGUUUCUCCCUCUGGGUCCUGGACGAGCAUCUGCUCUUCUGCAAGAAAAAAAUCAGCUGCCUCUGUGCCCCGCGCAGACUGGGUGAGUCCAGGGUGCUCGAACAGGCUGGAAAGAGAGGAAAAACACCUGAAUUUACCAAAGCUGCUUUCUCACUUGUUCAGAAGCCAAAUGGGCCUUUUUCGAUUGGGGGGACAGAUAAGUUCACAGCUUUCCCAGCCCCAGAAGGCUUUCCUCCUCCCUAGCUGCACUUACAGCAUCUUCCCACUGCUGGUGCCGAGCAGACAGGAGCACGACAUAGCCACGUGGAGAGCAGGGAGAGGGAAACCUGGUGCAAGAUACACCUGCGUGAGCGUGUCUGCGAGCGCAAACCGAAGCCCUGUGGUCCCUUACCACCCCAUUUCAUCGGGAUGUGUAACUGUGCGUGUAACAAACCUGCAUCUGAAAAUGAAGGUGCUUUGUUUCUUUUUGAAGAAAUAGCCCUGUGUCUGGGACUUUGCUGCCAGAUGACUAACCCCUGGAGAUGCCACUGGCAGAAGCAGCUCUGUGCGGUCCCUUGGCAAGGCUUGUCCCAGUUCCCAUGAGCAGCACCACGGUAUGAACUUCCCACUACCUAUGGAACCAUCCUGCUCAGCUCCAGUAAGCAAAGGCAAGGGGUUGAAUUGAAUUUUGUUUGGUUUUGCUUUUAUUUUGUGUCUCUCUUCAGUAAGCAGUGGUAAGUAUACAGCUUAAUUCCUGUUUUUAACAUUCUUGUGGCAUGAUUCAAAACUAACCUGCUGUGCUGUCACCUGAAGUCUUCAAUAAAUAGUGCAAAACCAG